AGAGUUUGAUCAUGGCUCAGGACGAACGCUGGCGGCGUGCUUAACACAUGCAAGUCGAACGGAAAGGCCCUUCGGGGUACUCGAGUGGCGAACGGGUGAGUAACACGUGGGUGAUCUGCCCUGCACUUUGGGAUAAGCCUGGGAAACUGGGUCUAAUACCGAAUAUGACCAUGCACUUCCUGGUGUGUGGUGGAAAGCUUUUGCGGUGUGGGAUGGGCCCGCGGCCUAUCAGCUUGUUGGUGGGGUAAUGGCCUACCAAGGCGACGACGGGUAGCCGGCCUGAGAGGGUGACCGGCCACACUGGGACUGAGAUACGGCCCAGACUCCUACGGGAGGCAGCAGUGGGGAAUAUUGCACAAUGGGCGCAAGCCUGAUGCAGCGACGCCGCGUGAGGGAUGACGGCCUUCGGGUUGUAAACCUCUUUCAGCACAGACGAAGCGCAAGUGACGGUAUGUGCAGAAGAAGGACCGGCCAACUACGUGCCAGCAGCCGCGGUAAUACGUAGGGUCCGAGCGUUGUCCGGAAUUACUGGGCGUAAAGAGCUCGUAGGUGGUUUGUCGCGUUGUUCGUGAAAACUCACAGCUUAACUGUGGGCGUGCGGGCGGUACGGGCAGACUUGAGUACUGCAGGGGAGACUGGAAUUCCUGGUGUAGCGGUGGAAUGCGCAGAUAUCAGGAGGAACACCGGUGGCGAAGGCGGGUCUCUGGGCAGUAACUGACGCUGAGGAGCGAAAGCGUGGGGAGCGAACAGGAUUAGAUACCCUGGUAGUCCAA
rnacentral:rRNA from 1 species